rnacentral:lncRNA from 1 species
UACUCUCUAAAAAAUCCUAGCCGUCACUCCUUUUCGUCUCGUCUCUAUCCUUUGAACUUCCUCUCCUCUCUCACUUCCUCCGGUUGCGGAGGCGGCAGCAGCGACGCCUCCUUCCUCCCCCGUUUUCUUCUCCUCCCUUUUUCCGACGAAGGCAGAGUAGAGGCGCCACCGCCUCCUUCUUCUUCUUCUCUUUCUGCCUCUUUCUCUUCUCUUCUUCCUCUUCCAUGAUAGUGGCGGCCACCUCCUUCCUCUUCUUCUCUUUCCUCCUAUUUCUCUUCUCCCCCUUCUCACUCGCGACGAUGGUGGGAAUUGCACUGCCAUCUCUUUCCUCUUUUUCUCUUUCCUCCUCUCUCUUCUCCCCUUUCUCCCCCGUAAAACUGGCAGCGGUGACAUCGCCGCCUCCUUCCUCUUCUUCUCUUUCCUCCUCUUUCUUUUCUUUAAAAAACAACACAAGCAAUGAACUUUCAUCUCCUCCUCAUCAAUGAUGGCGGCGGGUGCCUAGCCUCAGGCUACGACUCCUAUUCCUUUCGACUCUCAGUGGUGGUGAACAAAAAACAUGAAAGGUUAAAGGAAAAAAAACACAACCCUACUCUAUUUAUAUUUUGUUUGUUAUUCUAUUUUUUGACUCAGAUUUGAUUUCUCUUAUCUAGUUAGAUCUGACCAUUUUAUUCUCUUAUUAUUGAUUUUUAUGAGGGCGAGGGAAAGGCGGCACGCCGGUGGGAAAGCCUCCUCUGUUUUAAUGAAUCUGAUGCUUUUGUAAGUUUUGUAGCUUUACCUCUUAAAUCUGUUCUUCUUUUCAUGUUUCGGUAGUGUUGGAAGUAUGAUAGGCAAAACUAGUAUAUACCUAAACCUUUGUGACUGAUAUGGAUAGAUAUGAAAGUUUGGUGGUGGGAGACAGAAUUUGAGAAAAAACUCAAAUCUAAUUGGAGGAGAAAUUUAAUAAUAUGAGAGUGUGGAGGAAAGUUUUUUUAUUAAUUUGUUCUUUUAAAUUUUUCUAACUUGAAUACAAACCCAAAUGCCCAAGUCUAUUUGCACAUGCAUUUCACCUACUUAACUUCUAAAUAUCUUCAUUUUUUUAAUUUUUUUUUCAUUCUGGAAUUUUCCACCAAUCACUAACCACACAUUCCACUAACUACUAAGUACUAAUAUUAAUUAUCUUUUUCCAGAUUUUGCUUCCUUCUUUACAACCACUCAGAAAGUGCCACAUCACUAGCUCUAUGAUUUUCCCCUUUCAUAUCUUUUUAUUUUAAUAUUUAUUAUUAAUUAAACUUUAAUAAUUAAACACUCCCCCUUAAAGUUAAUUCUUCGUAACUCCGAGUAGCGUCCUCCUUUUGAGGAACACAUCAUGCUUUAGGGGCUUCGUGAAAAUAUCUGCAAUUUGAUCUUCUAUCUUCACAUACUUCAGCUUCACUUCUUUCUGCUCCACGCAUCAUUGUACGAAGUGAUAUCUUGUAUCGAUAUAUGUCUUCUUCAAGAUAUCCGUUUAAAAAUGUUGAUUUGACAUCCAUCUGAUGAAUUCUCCAUCCAUUAUAUGCUGGAAGUGAAAUUAUCAUUUGAAUGUUCUCCAUUCUAGCUACCGGAGCAAAUACUUCAUUAUAGUGAUAUCUGGUCUUUGACUGUAUCCUUUUGCCACCAGGCUUGCUUUGUGUCGAAUGACUUUUCCUUUUGCAUUCUUCUUCGCCUUGAAUACCCAUUUAACUUUAAUUGUCUUCUGGUCUUCUAGAAGUGGCACAAGCUCCCAAGUCUUGUUCUUCUCGAUUGCUCCAAUUUCUUCAUCCAUUACUUCCUUUCAUUUACCAUCCUUCAUUGCUUCUUUAGCAUCCUUAGGCUCACCAUUGAUGAAAUGACAGUAGAGUGUUACCUCAUUCUCAAUGCUUUCUGUUUCGUCGUACAAAUCUUCAACUGUUCUAUACUUAGCGUAUUUUUUCCGUAACUCUAACUUGAACUGCUAUCAAGAAUUCCUAGUUAUAUUGGGCUUGAUGGGAGUCCCCUUUUUUCUGGAACAUCUUCACUUUCAUCCAUGAUGAUUGGAUUAAACUUCAUCUUCGUUUCAGCAUUCCAAUCCCAUGUAGCUUCUUCAUCUAUAGUUACGUCUCUACUAAUGACCACCUUCUAUGUUAGAGGAUCGAACAUUUUGUAUCCCUUCGAGUGCUUUGAGUAGCCCAUGAACAAAUACUUCUUGCUUUUGUCGUCCAGCUUCACUCUUCUUUCAUCUGGUACAUGCACAUGUUCCACACAUCUGAAAACUCGUAAGUGAGAGACUGUUGGUUUCCGUCUGCUCCACACUUCUUGAGGUGUUUGAUUCUAGAUGCUUCUUGUUGGUGAUCUGUUGUACAGUCAACAGCUUCAGUCCAUAGCUCAUUUGGCAGAUGUUUGCUUUUCAGCAUGCUCCGCACCCAUGUUGAGUACCAUCCUGUUCUUUCUCUCUACAAUGCCAUUUUGUUAAGGGGAUCUUGCCAUAGAUAGGAAGCGUCAGAUUCCAUGUAGUUCGAAAAAUUCUUCUCAAAUCUCCAUAUAUGUAUUCUCCCCCUCUAUCUGAUCUCAGGGCUUUGAUGUAGCAGCCACUUUCAUUUUCGACAACGCGCCUUAAACUUCUUGAAAGUUCCACAUGUUUUAGAUUUUUCCUACAAAAGAUACACCAACGUCUUCCAGCUAAAAUCAUUAAUAAAUAGUAGGAAAUAUUUAUUCUUACACAACGAUGUAGGAGUGUUUGGUCCACAAAGAUCUGUAUGGACUAGCUCGAGUGGCGCUUUCGCUCUUAAUUCUGAUUCCUUCAGGAAACUUGUUCAAAAUUGCUUUCCCAUGAGGCAUCCUUCCCAAAGUUGAUCUGGAUGAUUUAUGAUCGAUAGACCAUGCACAAUCUUCUUCUGGCCUAGUAACUUCAGCCCUUGGAAAUUUAGAUACCCGAACCUUAGUUGCCAAAUCCAGUUAUCUUCGUUCACGCAUGUCUUCAAGCAUUACGCUGUAUCUGGUUGGAAGUUCAAUGGCAACAUUCUAUUCUUUGACACCAAGACUCUGGCGAUUAGCUCCUUCUUAUCAUUUCGCAACUUCAAUUUUUGAUCCACCAUAUGAACUUCAUACUUCUUCUCUAGUAAUUGACCGGCACUCAAUAUGUUGCAUGUCAUCUUUGGAACAUAGCAGACAUCACGAAUGAAUUGGUGAGAACCAUCUUUCAAACGAAUUAAAAUCAUACCUCUUCCUUUGAUUUCAACUUUCGACGAGUCUCCAAACACUAUGUUUCCUUUCACCCGGUUGUUUAUCUCCACGAACAUGUUCUUCUUCCCGCACAUGUGGUUACUUGCCGUGUUGUCGAGGUACCACGUGUUCUCAUUUCGCCUUUCCUCACAACGCCUUGCCACUUACAAUCUCUUCUCCGACCUUGCUUAUCGUUUCUUCAAUUUCCUUCCGCAGACUCCAACACUAUGAGGCAUAAUGCCCAUAUUUCGAGCGAUAGUAGCAUUGCACUCUGGAUUUAUCUCGCCCUUGAUUUGAUCUCGAACUUCCUCUUCCACAUCCAAGAUUUCCUCCUCGAGUGGAUUGUGUGGGAGGUCCAUUUCCAACGUCGGCUGCUCCGUCUCUUUUGUUGUACGACAUCUUCCUCUUCCUCGGCUGUUUGAACCUUGACCUCUUCCUCGACCUCUAUAAUAAUUUCCUCAUGAGUUCUUUUUGUAACAACCCAGUUUUACCUUUUGAAACAAACGAAAAAAUGUCCCGGGACUGACACAUGACACAGCUUAGAAAUAGUACAAAAUAUAAUUAAAAUUACACAUAAACGAUACUGGUAACCUUUGCAGAAAAACUGGAAUAUUACGCCAAACAACUNNNNNNNNNNNNNNNNNNNNNNNNNNNNNNNNNNNNNNNNNNNNNNNNNNNUCGACCCAUCUUUUAAAACAAAUCCCAGAAAUAUACAGUCUCAUCAAUAUCUCAACUUCAGUCUGGCGGCAGAUGAACAGAUCCUCUAUCAAUUCUUCUAAUUCCAUAUCACCUGUCAUGAACUGGUGGGUAGCUUAGGGUCUGUCUUCCGAAGUUAUCAUAUACAUAUCAAUAUUAGAAAUCAUUUAAAAAGAUAACCAUAUAGCAUGUAAAGCACGUUGGACAAUUCUGACUCUACUUUACAUAUUUUAAUUGGGAUCCCGGCUCACAUAUGCUGACGAUCCAUAUACAUGUUAGUGGCACCAAAUUGGGCCACAUAUAGUGGCGCCUACCAAGGCCCACGACGACAGUUAGUGUGGGAAGCCCACCGCGUAGCUAUAGUGCAUUAAGCACGAUCGUCAACAUAUGGGGCGUAGUUAGUGGGAAUAAACCCCGAUCGUCAACAUAUGGGCUCUAACUACGUGAUCAAUCAAUACCAAUAUUACUCUUGUAACAGAACUUGUUCAACUGAACAAUUACAUGUAACAUAUCAUAUCAACAAUAUAUCACUUAGGAUUUAAUAGAAUAUAUGGAUCACAUAAAAUGCAUUUAAAACCUUUAAAAUCCAAUUAUUAUUCAUGUAAUUCAAAGAGGCAUAAAUAACACAAGUAAUACAUAAACAUUUAAAAUGGAAGAUAUUACCCCCUUAAACCAACCCACCUAUCGGAAGAGCGUUUGACUCGAAAUACGGUCAAACGUCCAAGAACGGAACAAUUAUGUAACCGGAUUGACUCGAAAUACGGUCAAACGUCCAAGAACGGAACAAUUAUGGCUUAACUCAACACUUUCGGGCCAAACUGCAAUAGCUGGAAAGUAUUGGGCUGCGGCUGGAAUAAUUUAAAAGUUACAGACUGCGUAGACAAAAUAAAAAGUUCAGGUACUAAACUGGAAGUAUGAAAGUUCAGGGACCAAACUGGAUAUUUACCGACGGGAAUUCAUUUUUCCAGACUUAUUUCCAGAAUCCGACGACGACGAACCCGGGCUCCGGUGAGCCUUGAAUCACCACUAAAACUCGAACAAACUCAAAUCGAAGGAUACGUAAGGUUUUGUCUCGAUAAUACGAAGUCAACCGAGGUAUUUAAAGGUCUUGGAUUGGUUUAGAACUUGCCGACGCAAGUUGACGUCGGAGAAGAAGGAAACGCCGUUUCAAGCUUGCUCCUCCUCAAAAUUGAUUAUGGAUGGCUUUAAAUAGCUAUGUGAUUGCCCUCAACGGAGGGUUUAAGUCUAAAACAUGGCAUCAAGGUUUGACACGCCGAUUACGGCCUUCAAUCGUUUGGGAUGUGCCAAAAAUGUUUGUUGUCGGGUAUCAAGGCUGGUCGGAGGAGGUGAGGAAGACAACGGUGAUGACCAAAUCGACUUAUCCCAAAACGACGUCGUUUUAUGGCUGAGUGAAAAUGAACCUAAAAUUAAAACUAAAUGCUUCUCCUAGGAUUUGAACUCAGGUCUAGAGAUUAAAGGUAAGUAUUCUAACCAAAUAAGCUACUGAUUCAAUUGUUGAUGAAAUUUCUAUCUUAAUUGUUAUCAAUACGCUAGUCUAAUUAGUUUCAAUCUUAUUCAUGUUAAACAUUUAGUUACACCUUCACAACACAACUAUCAUAAACUAAAUUCUUAUAGAUAAAUUUAGAGACGGUUACAUAAAUAUUUCCAUAUUAGGAUCGGAUAUUAUACUUUUUCUCCUUGAUUUCCAUUUGUGUCGCCAUGACAUGCUCCGCUAGUUCCUCCUUCCAUUUCUCUAGCCUUUCUUCUCGUACCUGCAAUGAUCCAACAAGUUCUUCAACAAACAUUUUUGAGACGUCCUUCGCUUCAUCAAUAGCCACCACCACGUAGUUGAACUUCAGCAACAUCGAUCGUAGAAUUUUCAACACCACCCUGGUUUCUUCAAUUUUCUCACCAUAUUGCUUCAUUUGGUUGACGACGGACUUCACCCGUGAUGUGUAGUCCAACACCAAUUUACCUUCUUUCAUAUUCAAUGACUCGAAAUCUCCUCGCAACGUCUGAAGUCAUACCUUCUUCAGUUUAUCUUCACCUUGGAGGGAUACCCGCAAAAUAUCCCACGCUUGCUCGGAGGGUCUUGCUUCCGCUACUUUCUCAAACAUGGCAUCAUCAAAACUUUGAUGAAUUAUGGUGAGCGCCUUUAGGUCACUUUUACGACUCUUGUGUAACACCUCCUUUUCCGCAGAAGAUAGCUCGGAACCUUCGGCCGAAAUAUAGUAACCUUUUUCUACUAUAUCCCACACAUCUUGCGAUCCUAGCAAGAAUUUCAUGCGGAGACACCAACUCAUAUAGAUGGUUAGUGAGGAGAGGGAAUUGGAAGGUCGUAAAUGAAUUUUGGCCAUUUGGGUGGGUUUUGACAGAAAUGAAAAGUUCAGGGCUCUGAUACCAAUUUGUUGGAAGUAUGAUACGCAAAACUAGUAUAUACUUAAACCUUUAUGACUAAUAUGGGUAGAUCUGUAAGUUUGGUAGUAGGAGAUAGAAUUUGAAAACAGGCUCAAAUCUGAUUGGAGGAUGAAUUUAAUAAUAUGAGAAGGUUUUGUUUGGUUUUGGAAAAGAGAUAGACGAGGAAGAGAGUGUAGAGCAAAGUUUUUUUUAUUAAUUUUUUUCUAAAUUUUUCUAACUGAAAUACAAAUUCAAAUGUCCACAUCUAUUUUCAGAUCCAUUUCACCAACUUAACUUUUAAAUAUUUCUAUUUUUUAAUUCUUUUUCCUACACUCUAGAACUUUCCACCAAUCACUAACCACACAUUUCACNNNNNNNNNNNNNNNNNNNNNNNNUAUUAAUUAAACUUUAAUAAUUGAACAUGUGAAUUUAGAGCUUGAUGAUCAUGAAUGGAAUGAUAGGAACCGAAACUUAAAUGACAUUACUAACAUGCAUAGACUGCUGGUAUGUUAAGGUUAGUAGAAUAAUAGUGAAUAUCAUAUGAGCUGAUACAGAUACAAAAUUGGUAAAAUGAAAUGUUGUGUACAUAACUUGUUAAGAAUAGGAAAAAAAGUUAGUAAAAUUUAGUGCGGCAUAAAUAAAAAGCUAAAACAGAAAUAUUAGUUGUGUUAGUAUACAAACAUUUACAUAUUUAAAAUAGAAGUUGCAAUUGAUUUGAUCAAUGUCUAUAUAACUAGGUUUGUCGUAUAAAAGAAUUUUGAUAGAAAUAAUUGAACCUCAAAGAUCGGAAGAGCGGUUUGAACCUCAAAAGACAAAGUUAUGACAUACAAUUAUACCUAUGAAUUUCUAAAAUAUACAUGAAAAGUCAUAUUGCUAACCUAUGCCGCUUCGUUUUUUGAUUGUGACUAGGUUUCUCGACAGGGGGCUUACUAGAGGAAGAAAGCUUAUCGACAUAGAGAAACUAGAAGAUACAAAUGGGUUAGAGUGUAUUUUUUUGUUCAUUGGCUUUGCCAAGAGAGGGACUAGAGGAGUUAGAGGGUUGGCUUUGGGAAAAUUAUGGGAAUUUUCAAAAGAUCAUAAUGUGUUUCCUAUGAGUUUGAUGCUCUAUUUAUAGAGAGGAAACAACAAUUCAAUCUAGAUCGUUUUAUGUAAAAUUAUAAUUUUAUUAAUUUUUUUCCAUUUAUUUUAAUAAAAAUGUAAUGAUGGUUAAUGGAACCAAAUCAAACGAACACUCAUGUACUUAGUGGGCUUAAUUGUAAAGUCCGUUAUCCGAGUCUGAAAUACCAAAAAAUCGAUAU